rnacentral:misc_RNA from 1 species
UAGCCGUAGGUGAACCUGCGGCUGGAUCAUUAUCGAGCUUAAUGACCAACGAAAAAUGAAAUCAACUAGCAUGAUUUCAUGGUGACAUGCUACUGAGCGGUCCGUUUGUUUGACGGAUGUUGCGCUCGUCAUCAGUGACCCAACGGCUCUCGGUUGGCGUCUACCCGUUCUCGAGCAGUUGUGCCUCGUCCGUGGCUGUGAUGAAAGAACGGAAUAUGCAUACGUCCUGCUAGCUCAGGGUAGCGGAUGCUGAGACUUAAUGAGCUUCAGGCCUGGAAGCUACCAACCAACCCCUUUUUUCUAACGAUUUUUCUAACAAAAGACAACAUAUCAGUCUUACCGGUGGAUCACUCGGCUCGU